UCAAUUAUUUAUAGCCUCUGGCUAUAGGAAAUUGUUAGUGGCAGACGGGUGAGUAAUGCGUAGGAAUCUACCUAGUAGUACGGAAUAGCCAUUAGAAAUGGUGGGUAAUACUGUAUAAUCCCCGAGGGGGAAAGAUUUAUCGCUAUUAGAUGAGCCUACGUUAGAUUAGCUAGUUGGUGAGGUAAUGGCUUACCAAGGCUAUGAUCUAUAGCUGGUCUGAGAGGACGAUCAGCCACACUGGAACUGAGAUACGGUCCAGACUCCUACGGGAGGCAGCAGUGGGGAAUAUUGGACAAUGGGCGAAAGCCUGAUCCAGCUAUGCCGCGUGAGUGAAGAAGGCCUUCGGGUUGUAAAACUCUUU
rnacentral:rRNA from 1 species